GGAAUAUUGGUCAAUGGGCGGAAGCCUGAACCAGCCAUGCCGCGUGCAGGAUGACUGCCCUCUGGGUUGUAAACUGCGUUUUUCCGGGAAUAAACCUCCUUACGUGUAGGGAGCUGAAUGUACCGGAAGAAUAAGGAUCGGCUAACUCCGUGCCAGCAGCCGCGGUAAUACGGAGGAUCCGAGCGUUAUCCGGAUUUAUUGGGUUUAAAGGGUGCGUAGGCGGCCUGUUAAGUCAGGGGUGAAAUACGGUGGCUCAACCAUCGCAGUGCCUUUGAUACUGAUGGGCUUGAAUCCAUUUGAAGUGGGCGGAAUAAGACAAGUAGCGGUGAAAUGCAUAGAUAUGUCUUAGAACUCCGAUUGCGAAGGCAGCUCACUAAGCUGGUAUUGACGCUGAUGCACGAAAGCGUGGGGAUCG
rnacentral:rRNA from 1 species